AGAGUUUGAUCCUGGCUCAGGACGAACGCUGGCGGCGUGCUUAACACAUGCAAGUCGAGCGAUGAAGCUCCUUCGGGAGUGGAUUAGCGGCGGACGGGUGAGUAACACGUGGGUAACCUGCCUCAUAGAGGGGAAUAGCCUUUCGAAAGGAAGAUUAAUACCGCAUAAGAUUGUAGUACCGCAUGGUACAGCAAUUAAAGGAGUAAUCCGCUAUGAGAUGGACCCGCGUCGCAUUAGCUAGUUGGUGAGGUAACGGCUCACCAAGGCGACGAUGCGUAGCCGACCUGAGAGGGUGAUCGGCCACAUUGGGACUGAGACACGGCCCAGACUCCUACGGGAGGCAGCAGUGGGGAAUAUUGCACAAUGGGGGGAACCCUGAUGCAGCAACGCCGCGUGAGUGAUGAAGGUCUUCGGAUCGUAAAGCUCUGUCUUCAGGGACGAUAAUGACGGUACCUGAGGAGGAAGCCACGGCUAACUACGUGCCAGCAGCCGCGGUAAUACGUAGGUGGCGAGCGUUGUCCGGAUUUACUGGGCGUAAAGGGAGCGUAGGCGGAUUUUUAAGUGAGAUGUGAAAUACCCGGGCUCAACUUGGGUGCUGCAUUUCAAACUGGAAGUCUAGAGUGCAGGAGAGGAGAGUGGAAUUCCUAGUGUAGCGGUGAAAUGCGUAGAGAUUAGGAAGAACACCAGUGGCGAAGGCGACUCUCUGGGACUGUAACUGACGCUGAGGCUCGAAAGCGUGGGGAGCAAACAGGAUUA
rnacentral:rRNA from 1 species